CUGCUCACAUCAUGAGUACGAAUUUGUCUGUGAAUACCUGAAUACUCCCAGAGACAAAGAUGGAGUCUCACUUUGUCACCCAGGCUGGAAUGCAGUGGCGAGAUCUCGGCUCACCACAACCUCCGCCUCCCAGGUUCAAGCGAUUCUCCUGCCUCAGCCUCCCAAGUAGCUGGGAUUACAGAGCAUGAGAUGAUGCCUCAACUGAUCACCAACUCUGCAGAGGCAGUCACUGAUACUAUCAUUUUCAUCUCCUAAUUGGAUUCCUAGGCAAAAGUGGACAUAUUCAACCUACAAUUAAAGAUGCUUAUAUUUUACA